CGUGUUUGCUUCUGUCACAGGAGCGGGGCUUAGCUUGAACUUUGUUUUUACCCGGCCCCUGCCAUCGUAACACAACUGUUGUAUUUUAACAGAGCUUCAUAACAUCAAAUAAAUUUGAAAGAAAUGGAUUUCACCAGUGUUAUGCUAACUAAAAGCCCCAAGAUGAAAGCGUAUGCCCACAGAUGGCAGUGGGACCUCUGUGACUGCUGCCGGCUCCCAGCCCUGGUGCUAGAAAUGUCUAAAUCCAAAUGUGUGAAAAUGCUAAUCAUUUGUCUUGCCAGUUUUCUGAAGCCAUCAGUACGACGGCAAAGAGCUUCUUAGUUUUAUUUUGGGGAAAGUAUAAAUCGUGUUUAAUGAGGUACACUAAAAAUCCCCCCCAAACUUCCUUUUCUAUUAAUAUCAACAGUCCAAGAGUGUUUGCCACAUUGCUAGGGCUGAAG